AAAAAAAAAAAAAAAAAUUAAAACCACAGUGGUGGCCAAACUAAAAAUGGUACACUGCUUAAGCGAAAAUUGCCACUUCCAUUCUUUUUGUUCCCAAUCAGCUUGCCCCAUAAAUUACAGUCACAAGUUCAGGGUUAUUUGCCAACCCAGGGAAAUUACAUCAGUAAAUGGAACAGAAUAUAUAGUGAUCCCAACUAAUUGAAAACUUUUUCUUCUGGGUUCUCUAAAAUACAAGGAAACACCUCAUGAGCUUCCUCACCACAUCUCACUUAAAACACAAGAAACAAACAUUCCUCACUGGUUCACAGUCACACCAAUAUAUCAGACUCGAAAUCUUGUUCAAUCUCACUUAAAUACAAAUCAAAUAUAUAAUUUCCAUACUCCAAUUCCUGAUUGCUGGGAGCAUGAGCUUUUUUCUCAAUCUCCAUUUUGAUCCUUUUUUUUUCCAUUUCGAAAAAUAAUUUAGCUACCAUUAGUAGUUGGCCAGCUAACUUUAAAAAGGUCUUUUGGAGUCAAAUGCAAAAAAUCCAGAAAUUAGAUACCUAAUUAUGUUAUAAUAGUAAAAAAUCUUGAAAUUAGAUACCUAAUGAGGCCCAUUAGCUCCUCAUCUUCUGCAAGGAAAAUUAAAAACUUUUAAUAAAAAAAAGAAAAGAACAAAGAAAGAGGGAAGAGAGAGAGAAUUCCAAAAUCAAUGGAGUUUCACUGUACCUAAGUCCUAUACUGAAGAUGUCAUUAGCACUCCUACUUAAAAGGGUUAGGAAAUCAUGUGGGAAUAAAUUUAACCCAAAUUAGGAUUCUUAAAACUAAAUUUGAAACAUGUUUCAAUAAAGGAAAGUUUUCAAAAUCAUAAUUUCAUUGCACGUCUUCCAAAAUAAUACUUUUUUCAAAUAAUUCUUUAAAAGAGACUCAUUCCAGGUGACUUGUUAAUAAACUAUGCUGAAAAUUAGAAAACUACUUGAAAUGUAAUUUCGAUAUGUUCAUAUUAGCCAUUAAACAUUUACCCAACAAUCACAUACACAGCAGUUAACAAAAUUACAACAAGCAUAAAUUCCAAGAAAACACAAGGCAAAAAUGCAGAUUAUUGCAGGCAGAAAUGCUAUAAAACAAAAAGAAAGAAGCAUAAAGCAAAGAUAAAUAAAGAAAAUUCAAAGUUAUACUGUAACAUAAAAGUCAUAAAUAUACAAUAACAUGCAGGCAGAAAUGCAAUUAUACAAAAACAAAGAAGCAUAAAGCAAAGAUAAGAUUAAAGAAUACCCAAAAACUCGAUGUCUUUCA
rnacentral:misc_RNA from 1 species